rnacentral:rRNA from 1 species
GAAGCGGCAACAGCUCAAAUUUGAAACCUGGCGCUUGCGCCCGGAUUGUAAUUUGUAGAGGAUGCUUCUGGGCAGCGGCCGGUCUAAGUUCCUUGGAACAGGACGUCAUAGAGGGUGAGAAUCCCGUAUGUGACCGGCGCGCACCCUCCACGUAGCUCCUUCGACGAGUCGAGUUGUUUGGGAAUGCAGCUCUAAAUGGGAGGUAAAUUUCUUCUAAAGCUAAAUAUUGGCCAGAGACCGAUAGCGCACAAGUAGAGUGAUCGAAAGAUGAAAAGCACUUUGGAAAGAGAGUUAAAAAGCACGUGAAAUUGUUGAAAGGGAAGCGCUUCCCACCAGACUCCGCGGCGGUGUUCCGCCGGUCUUCUGACCGGUCCACUCGCCGCCGUGGGGCCAGCAUCGUCUGGGGCCGCCGGAUAAGACCGCAGGAAUGUAGCUCAUUGAGUGUUAUAGCCUGCGGUGAUGCGGCGCGCCCCGGGCGAGGUCCGCGCUUCGGCAAGGAUGCUGGCGUAAUGGUGGGCAGCGGCCCGUCUUGAAACACGGACCAAGGAGUCUAACAUCUAUGCGAGUGUUCGGGUGUCAAACCCCUACGCGUAAUGAAAGUGAACGGAGGUGGGAGCUUCGGCGCACCAUCGACCGAUCCUGAUGUCCUCGGAUGGAUUUGAGUAAGAGCAUAGCUGUUGGGACCCGAAAGAUGGUGAACUAUGCCUGAAUAGGGUGAAGCCAGAGGAAACUCUGGUGGA